rnacentral:rRNA from 1 species
AUUGAACGCUGGCGGCAGGCCUAACACAUGCAAGUCGAAAGAGUGGCAGACGGGUGAGUAAGGUCUGGGAAACUGCCUGAUGGCGGGGGAUAACUACUGGAAACGGUAGCUAAUACAGCAUACCAUCAGAUGUGACAAGAUGGGAAUCGCUCGUUGGUGGGUGAACGGCUCACCAAGGCGACGAUCCCUAGCUGGUCUGAGAGGAGGACCAGCCACACCUGAACUGAGACACGGUCCAGCCUCCUACGGGAGGCAGCAGGGGGGAAUAUUGCACAAUGGGCGCAAGCCUGAUGCAGCCAUGCCGCGUGGAUGAAGAAGGCCUUCGGGUUGUAAAGUACUUGCAGCGGGGAGGCGUUACCCGCAGAAGACGCACCGGCUAACUCCGUGCCAGCAGCCGCGGUAAUUC